GUUGGCUUUUAAUGCAGAAGUGCUCGCAAGCUUCAGUAAAAACAUUUAUUGGAAAAUACACUUUUAUAGCACCAUUUGGCAGCUAACAGUGACUUUUGAUCUGCUCCUGCAGCAAGAGGAGAGAGACGAUAGUGGUGAGAGCAAAUAUAGACAAGGUGUAUUGCAAUAUUCUUGAAGCAAUUGCUUUUUGUUUUUGAAAGGGUACAGUUACUGGAGAACUCUGGUGGUGUGCAUGUCUGAGUUCUAGAAUGGGAUGUUUUUUCUGCAGUGCUUUCUGUUCUAUAGUCUGAGAUACAGCAGCUGUUUUUAAGGUCAUUUCCUUUUAUUUUAAAUAAUUGUUCAUUUAACAUAUGCCGUUAAACUCAUUCUUGCGUCAGAAGGAGGCGAUUAUACUUCCUGACCCUGAAAGCAAGCAUCUUGGAUUUUCUUCAAAAGCCCCAAAGAAGAUGGAGAAAGAGAUUGAGGACUGAGCCCCACUACCAUGGAGAGUGAAGAAAUGGAGGAUGAGCAAGACAAUGACUGGAAUGGUGGCUCAGAUCUCAACUGGUGUCACAGAUCCACUAGGAAGUCUCCAGGCAAUAGAAGUACAGAAUCUCAUAGAUGUGCAAUGAUUACAUGAUCUUACUGCUCGAGACCCUCUCUACACACUGAAUGAACAAAUGGAAUGUGCUGUGGAAACAGAACAGAAGCCCAUGCUUCAGCCAGGACCGCAAUGGCCUCCUCCCUCGGGAGUAACAGCUGCAAAAAUAGGAGGGAAAUCCUCAGUGGAAUUGCUUCCAACACCUUUCUAAUGGAAAUAAUGAUUUGCAAAACCCAGUUUAUACCUCUGCCACAUAAUUAGUAGCCAAAAGAGCUAAAGAUUAAAAACACUGUUCUAAGUCCCAGAAUCUUUGAAAUUUGGCAAGAUCUUAAAUAUUGCACUCUUGCGUUCCAAACAGGUUGCCUGUAUGUGAGCAUUGUAAGGAAACUCUUAGUCAGUUGAGUCAAGCCCUUGAAUCAGUCAACACUUAUUAUAUGGAAAUUAACCAGUUUAAUGUCAAUUAGUGGAAAUUUGUUAGCAAGCAUACCCCGUGGGACAGGUUAUUUUGAAUUCCAAACACUCUUUAUUGAAGCCAGCUAAGAUAGUUGAUGUGGUACGUUGCUCCUUUAAAAGUGGGAGCCAAAUUAGUUAAGAAAUAGCUAAGAAACUCAGAAAAAGAUACAUUGAAACAUUCAACACUCACAAUCCAUUGCUUCAAAAUAUCCAUUGUUGACUAGGCAUAAAUACCAGGAAAUGAAGAUCUGAUUUUCUGUUUUAAGAAGGAACGGAAAUAUUAGAUGCAUAUCAGUCUGUGCUGUGUUUAUCAAUACUGAGCUCUGGAUGGGAAAGCCAGUUGUUUUAAUGACAAUGCUCAAAACUAGCCACAUGCUCACUUUAAACAUUUUCCAUCUGUUGGUUCUCUGCCAACAUGUUGGUAAGUAUACAUACUACCACAUACAAACUGUGGGGGGGGGAAACCAGAUAUGAAUGUGGAAACUAUCAUGGAGACUUAGUGAACUGAGAAAAGUCAUAAAAAAUAAGGGAAGCAAUAAAGAGUAUGAUCCUGCUCUCACCAAAGUUCACUUCAAGACUAGCAGGCCCACAGCCUGUGAACAGGAAGAGCACAAGUCAAAAUAGGAGAAUUAAUAUGAGACAUCCUAGUGAUUAAUAACAUACUGAUACCAUGGUGACGGGUCAUGUAAAGAGAUAAAUUUUAGUCUUCCAAUAAAUGAUGUGGUAAUGAAAACCAUGGAAAUAUACAUUUUACAGUUUAACAUGAGGCUACAAAAUGGAGAUCUUGGCAAAAAAUGUUAUUCUGAAUGGUAAAGGGCAACAAAAAACACCCGCCUUGCUCUUAGGGAUAGGAGUGCAAGCUGGUCAGCCAGACAUAAGUGGGGCUUUGGUCAAGGAUGUUGAGAAUCUGGAGGUUCUCCUCCCUUGCUCUACAUUCUUGUUCACCUUGUCAUGGUGGAAGAUGUGUGAAUGCCCAGCAGCCUCUGAUUGGCUGUUGUGGGGCAGGAGUGUCCAACAACUAAAGAAGUGGACUUCUCAUUACUUCAGGGAUUUCUUUGUUCUCCUAAAUCGGCAGUUCUCAAACUAAUUUGGGACCCCCAAAGUCAGUUGUAAUAAGGUCAUCAGGACUGGUGUGAGACAUACUGAGGAAGCGCAAGCUCGAGCCCCAUUGUACAGGGCUGAAGCUGAAGCCUGAGACCUAGAGUCCUGGAACAAAGUUGAAACUGAAGGGCUUCAGCCCUAGGGUAUGGGUAGACUGUGGGGGGUUUCAGGAUACCUCCAAUAUCCUGAUAAAAUUCCACUGCGU